rnacentral:rRNA from 1 species
CAUUAGCUAGUUGGUGAGGUAACGGCUCACCAAGGCCACGAUGCAUAGCCGACCUGAGAGGGUGAUCGGCCACACUGGGACUGAGACACGGCCCAGACUCCUACGGGAGGCAGCAGUAGGGAAUCUUCGGCAAUGGACGAAAGUCUGACCGAGCAACGCCGCGUGAGUGAAGAAGGUUUUCGGAUCGUAAAACUCUGUUGUUAGAGAAGAACAAGGACGUUAGUAACUGAACGUCCCCUGACGGUAUCUAACCAGAAAGCCACGGCUAACUACGUGCCAGCAGCCGCGGUAAUACGUAGGUGGCAAGCGUUGUCCGGAUUUAUUGGGCGUAAAGCGAGCGCAGGCGGUUUCUUAAGUCUGAUGUGAAAGCCCCCGGCUCAACCGGGGAGGGUCAUUGGAAACUGGGAGACUUGAGUGCAGAAGAGGAGAGUGGAAUUCCAUGUGUAGCGGUGAAAUGCGUAGAUAUAUGGAGGAACACCAGUGGCGAAGGCGGCUCUCUGGUCUGUAACUGACGCUGAGGCUCGAAAGCGUGG